UACGUAGGCAGCAAGCGUUGUUCGGAAUUACUGGGCGUAAAGAGUGUGUAGGCGGUGUUCUAAGUUUGUCGUGAAAUCUCCCGGCUUAACUGGGAGGGUGCGGCGAAAACUGGAAUGCUAGAGGAUGGGAGAGGUAAGCGGAAUUCCUGGUGUAGCGGUGAAAUGCGUAGAUAUCAGGAGGAACACCUGUGGUGUAGACAGCUUACUGGACCAUUCUGACGCUGAGACACGAAAGCGUGGGUAGCAAACAGG
rnacentral:rRNA from 1 species